GCACUGCUGAGGAGUCCCAUACUAAGACGAAACGGCCGUCCAAUGC
rfam:Schistosoma curassoni strain Dakar, Senegal genome assembly, scaffold: SCTD_scaffold0003391